UACGGAGGGGGCUAGCGUUGUUCGGAAUUACUGGGCGUAAAGCGUACGUAGGCGGCUUUGUAAGUUAGAGGUGAAAGCCCGGGGCUCAACUCCGGAAUUGCCUUUAAGACUGCAUCGCUAGAAUCAUGGAGAGGUGAGUGGAAUUCCGAGUGUAGAGGUGAAAUUCGUAGAUAUUCGGAAGAACACCAGUGGCGAAGGCGACUCACUGGACAUGUAUUGACGCUGAGGUACGAAAGCUAGGGGAGCAAACGGG
rnacentral:rRNA from 1 species